rnacentral:rRNA from 1 species
GACGAACGCUGGCGGCGUGCCUAAUACAUGCAAGUUGAGCGCUGAAGGUUGGUACUUGUACCGACUGGAUGAGCAGCGAACGGGUGAGUAACGCGUGGGGAAUCUGCCUUUGAGCGGGGGACAACAUUUGGAAACGAAUGCUAAUACCGCAUAAAAACUUUAAACACAAGUUUUAAGUUUGAAAGAUGCAAUUGCAUCACUCAAAGAUGAUCCCGCGUUGUAUUAGCUAGUUGGUGAGGUAAAGGCUCACCAAGGCGAUGAUACAUAGCCGACCUGAGAGGGUGAUCGGCCACAUUGGGACUGAGACACGGCCCAAACUCCUACGGGAGGCAGCAGUGGGGAAUCUUCGGCAAUGGACGAAAGUCUGACCGAGCAACGCCGCGUGAGUGAAGAAGGGUUUCGGAUCGUAAAACUCUGUUGGUAGAGAAGAACGUUGGUGAGAGUGGAAAGCUCAUCAAGUGACGGUAACUACCCAGAAAGGGACGGCUAACUACGUG